AGUGAACGCUGGCGGUAGGCCUAACACAUGCAAGUCGAACGGCAGCACAGUAAGAGCUUGCUCUUACGGGUGGCGAGUGGCGGACGGGUGAGGAAUACAUCGGAAUCUACUUUUUCGUGGGGGAUAACGUAGGGAAACUUACGCUAAUACCGCAUACGACCUACGGGUGAAAGCAGGGGAUCUUCGGACCUUGCGCGAUUGAAUGAGCCGAUGUCGGAUUAGCUAGUUGGCGGGGUAAAGGCCCACCAAGGCGACGAUCCGUAGCUGGUCUGAGGGGAUGAUCAGCCACACUGGAACUGAGACACGGUCCAGACUCCUACGGGAGGCAGCAGUGGGGAAUAUUGGACAAUGGGCGCAAGCCUGAUCCAGCCGUACCGCGUGGGUGAAGAAGGCCUUCGGGUUGUAAAGCCCUUUUGUUGGGAAAGAAAAGCAGCAGGUUAAUACCCCGCUGUUCGGACGGUACCCAAAGAAUAAGCACCGGCUAACUUCGU
rnacentral:rRNA from 1 species